rnacentral:tRNA from 8 species
GCGGACGUAGCUCAGUUGGUAGAGCAUCACCUUGCCAAGGUGAGGGUCGCGGGUUCGAGUCCCGUCGUCCGCU